GAUGAACUCUGGCGGCGUGCUUAACACAUGCAAGUCGAACGGGAUCCAUCGGGCUUUGCUUGGUGGUGAGAGUGGCGAACGGGUGAGUAAUGCGUGACCGACCUGCCCCAUACACCGGAAUAGCUCCUGGAAACGGGUGGUAAUGCCGGAUGCUCCAGUUGAUCGCAUGGUCUUCUGGGAAAGCUUUCGCGGUAUGGGAUGGGGUCGCGUCCUAUCAGGCUUGACGGCGGGGUAACGGCCCACCCGUGGCUUCGACGGGUAGCCGGCCUGAGAGGGCGACCGGCCACAUUGGGACUGAGAUACGGCCCAGACUCCUACGGGAGGCAGCAGUGGGGAAUAUUGCACAAUGGGCGCAAGCCUGAUGCAGCGACGCCGCGUGAGGGAUGGAGGCCUUCGGGUUGUAAACCUCUUUUAUCGGGGAGCAAGCGAGAGUGAGUUUACCCGUUGAAUAAGCACCGGCUAACUACGUGCCAGCAGCCGCGGUAAUACGUAGGGUGCAAGCGUUAUCCGGAAUUAUUGGGCGUAAAGGGCUCGUAGGCGGUUCGUCGCGUCCGGUGUGAAAGUCCAUCGCUUAACGGUGGAUCCGCGCCGGGUACGGGCGGGCUUGAGUGCGGUAGGGGAGACUGGAAUUCCCGGUGUAACGGUGGAAUGUGUAGAUAUCGGGAAGAACACCAAUGGCGAAGGCAGGUCUCUGGGCCGUUACUGACGCUGAGGAGCGAAAGCGUGGGGAGCGAACAGGAUUAGAUACCCUGGUAGUCCACGCCGUAAACGGUGG
rnacentral:rRNA from 1 species